AGGUGACACACUCACCUGUCUGUGUUUCUGCAGCUUUCAACAUUCAGAAUAAACUAAUGAUUACAUGUUGUAUGUUUUAGGGAAACCUACAAAAACCUCUCCAUCUACUCCCACACCUAUAUAUACAUCCACCUCUAUCCCUACAUCAGCCUCUGCCCCUGGUACUUCUCUUAUUCCUGUGUUUAUCUCUUUUGGAUCAGUCUGUGUUGUGGUUCUACUGGUGUUACUGGUUCUACUGGUGAGAAGAGAUGUUGACCUGAAACCUGAAGAGAUUUAUACAACUGUGGUUUACUCAGCAGUGAGAGCUGAAGACGUCAGUAUUGGAGACAAAACCAUCAGAAAGAGGAGUCCAAGAAUUUAAACCAGAGCCAGACGUCGUCUACUCUUCACUGAAGUAGUCCACCAGUCCAACCACUGACGUCCAGCUGCUGGUCUUUAACUGGUCUCCCCAGCACUUCAGACCAGAGGACAUCGACAGAUUUUUAAAUGUCUUAAGUCUUUUUUUUUCUCACUGAGAAAACCCAUAGACCCAUAGGACUCGAAAAUUGCAUCAUGGAUUUUUUAAAGUGUCCUUUAAUAAGGAAUCACAGCUUCAUGGUUCUAUAAAAAUGUUUCAUGUCUUAAAAAUUAUGCUUUUUAUGUGUUUUUUUAUGUGCCUCUUUUGUAGAAGUGAAAUGAGUUAAACAACUCAAAAAAAAUUAAAUACAACACAUUUUAACUGGAAUUUAAAAAAUGCAUUUUGCAGCAAAUCUGCAGUAGGAAAAUAAAAAUUUGAUUUGUAUUUCUAUUUUUAAUUUCUUAGCACUUAUUCCCAUGGCAAACGCCUUGCUUCUGAGGGUUUGUUCUCACUUGUUUUAAACAUUGAUGCUUCCUGAUAUAUCUGGUUUUGUUAUGAUUUAAUUAUGAUUAUAUCACUGUGGAAUUUCAGCAUAUUCAAACAAAGCUGCUGAAGUUGAUUCACAUACACUGAUAUCAAAGUAUCACAUACCAACAGCAGACAGUCAAACAAAGCAGAAGUAAUUUGGGGGGCUUCAGGGUGAGGGGUGAACUGUAUGUUCACUUCAUUCAAACAUGGAGAUUUGAAUCUCUCUGUUUUAAAUCUCCACUGCUUUUUCCAGCCUUAACAUUUUUACCAACAUCAUGUUUGUCUUUAUUGCCAAGAGCGAUUUAGCUUUGAUGAAAGGGUGCAGUGCUAAUUUAUUAGCUAGUGUCAGAUAGCUUGGUUAUCAAGCUGCUUCCAUAGACUGUAAGGAGUCAACAGAAAGGCACUGAUAGCUGCUAAAUAGAGCUUUGUAACAUAAAAACAAGAUCCUAGAAUUAAACUUACCAGAACUGGUAAUGUUUGUUUAUGCAAUAAGCCACAUAGUAUUGGUUACACAUUUGCAUUAAAAAUACCCCCAAAGCACAAACAUGGAUGAACAAUUGGCUGAGGUGAAGCCUAACAGACAGUUGGCAAUUACAGCAGCCUGUGUCCAUCGACCUCUCAAAGAGGCCACGCCCCUAUUAAUGCAAACUUUCAGGCUCAUUAACAUUUGAACAGCUGCGUUAUAAAGGCAUUCAACUCAUGCAAGACCAAAUAUAUUUUUAAUAGCAGGUUGUAUAAAUUUUUAUUUCUGCUGUAAAGUUGAACAUGUUCACAUGAGUGUCUAUGGAGAGUGACUGACUUUACAAAUCUCAAGUGGACAUUAGAGGAACUGCAGCAUUUGGUGCUCUUGGUUUGUUCAGUGUUGUAGUGGGAGGAGUCAGAGACACUGAGUUGGACGGAAUUAAGAUUUAAUGUUAAAUUAGGUUAACAUUAAAUUAGAUUAAGAUUAAUUAUGUCAUAGAAGCAAAAGUAGCUGAAUUUAAGAAACUGGAAGCCUGUGAUGUGUAAAAUAAACCCAGUUUGGAUUAUGAGUAAAUGAUUUUACAUUUAACCGCAUGAUGGUAUCAGUCAAAUGAAUAUCAGUCUGUCUGUAGAUUUUCACACCAUGUUAAGUUCUGUGUUUGCUGAACUGUGUGUUUGUCGUCUGUGGUUAACACUAACGAGUCUGCCACUGUUUCUGAGGAAGAAACAAUAAGAGCUUCAUCUGCAGGUGUUUCAACACAGAGGUGUGAAUGUUAAAUAGAGGAAGAAACACGUGAGUUAUUUGUAAGAGCAUUUCUGUAAACUCACACAGGUCAGAGACUGUUAUCAUAUUU